rnacentral:rRNA from 1 species
UACGUAGGGUGCGAGCGUUGUCCGGAAUCAUUGGGCGUAAAGCGCGUGUAGGCGGCCCGGUAAGUCCGCUGUGAAAGUCCAGGGCUCAACCCUGGGAUGCCGGUGGAUACUGGCGGGCUCGAGUCCGGAAGAGGCGAGUGGAAUUCCUGGUGUAGCGGUGAAAUGCGCAGAUAUCAGGAGGAACACCGAUGGCGAAGGCAGCUCACUGGACCGGAACUGACGCUGAGGCGCGAAAGCGUGGGGAGCAAACAGG